rnacentral:rRNA from 1 species
CUCGGCAAACAUAAGCCUCGCCUGUUUACCAAAAACAUCGCCUCUUGAACCAUCAACAUAAGAGGUCCCGCCUGCCCAGUGACUAUAAGUUUAACGGCCGCGGUAUUUUGACCGUGCAAAGGUAGCGCAAUCACUUGUCUUUUAAAUGAAGACCUGUAUGAAUGGCAUCACGAGGGCUUGACUGUCUCCUUUCUCCUGUCAAUGAAAUUGAUCUCCCCGUGCAGAAGCGGGGAUAAUAACAUAAGACGAGAAGACCCUAUGGAGCUUUAGGCUCCAGAACAGACUAUGUAAAACACCCUUACACAAAAGGAAAAACCUAUUAGACCCUGUUCUACAUGCCUUUGGUUGGGGCGACCGCGGGGAAACACACAACCCCCAUGUGGAUUAGGAGUACAACCCUCCCACAACCCAGAGUUACAACUCUAAGUAACAGAACAUCUGACCAACUAAUGAUCCGGCACACCGAUCAACGAACCGAGUUACCCUAGGGAUAACAGCGCAAUCCCCUUUUAGAGUCCAUAUCGACAAGGGGGUUUACGACCUCGAUGUUGGAUCAGGACAUCCUAUUGGUGCAGCCGCUAUUAAGGGUUCGUUUGUUCAACGAUUAAAGUCCUACGUGAUCUGAGUUCAGACCGGAGCAAUCCAGGUCAGUUUCUAUCUAUGAUAUGAUCUUUUCUAGUACGAAAGGACCGAAAAGAAGAGGCCUCUGUUCAAAACACGCCUCUCCCUUACCUAAUGAAACCAACUAAAAUAGGCAAAAGGGCAUACCCCUUUAGCUUAAGAAAAUAGCCU